CUUCUACCACCGGACCCCCCCAUUGUAACCUCUACUCUGUAAUCCUUUUGCGCUACCGCGGGAAAAUAAAAAUCAAUCCUUACAUUCCCGUAAACUUAGCAUACUCAAAAUUUGUUCCGUAAGCAGUUAAUAAGUUAUUGUAACUCUUGUGUUUACCCUAUAAAUUAAGUUCUCUUAUUGGAUGGUAGAUGGCCAAUCAGCGCUCAGUUAACAAAAUCAUCAACCAAUCACAAGAGGAGGAGAAAUCAGCUGAGAGCAACGCAAACAAGAAACGACCAAAUUUCAGUGAGACGGAAGUAUACGCCAUAGUGUGUGAAGUCGUCAAAAGAAAGAAAAUAAUUUUAGUGAAGUUGGACUCGAGAUGUACAAUCAAAUAUAAGAAUCAUGUCUGAUAAGAAGUAGUAAAAGCAGUGAAUGUUGUUGCUCGUAUCCCCCGCAAUGUUGAUGAAGUCAGGUGGAAGUUUUCCGAGUUACGUGUAAGCGUGAAGAAAAGCAGCACAAGAUAAGAAAUAUACUGGUGGAACAGGUGGCUGCCCCAAAUUGAAAAUACAAUUGAAGAAGCAGUUCUUCAACUCUUAGAUCCAGCCUCUAUACAUGAUCAUGGGACAACAGACCACGAGUGAAGCUUCUCACAAUACACAACGGUGUUCCUUCAGGUCAAUUUUAACGUUUUGUGUGAUGGUGUGGGUGUGCGUAGCUUGCUAUGGUGUCAUUUAAUCUUUGGUGAGAGUGUAGCUGGGUGUGGCUUGUUGUGGGGUCAUAUAACGUUUUGCGAGAGGGUGCAUGUGGGAGGGAAUGUCUAGUCAGCUUUAAUAAACCUUGUGUAUAGUGCAUGAAGCAGUGUAGUACAGUACAGUACAGUAUAGUGUAAACUAAUGUGGAGGUAAUGAUUUAGGUAAACAGUUGGGGACAGUUUAAGUACAUGUGAUCUAUUUGCAAGUUAAUUUUCAUUGUACGUAAAUUACAACUUCAAACACGUUGCAGGUAACAGCUGAUGUACGUGAAGGCCAAUGGAGAAGUGACAGAACCUCGAGCAAGAUUUAACUACCAGCAUGUUACUUCAGCCUCAUCAGUUAAGUUACUUGUACAGUAUAUCUUAGCUAAUAUCUUUAUCCAAUAAACCACUCGACAAUGCUCCUACACUGGGCAGUGGAGGGUGUGUGUGUAUCUUGGCUAUUAUGGUCAUCCCAUAAACUACUCAACACCGUGCUUCUACACUCGGCAGUGGAGGGUGUGUGGGGGGCCUGGCUGACAGUGUGAAGGAGGGCUCGUGAGUACUUAGUGGACAGAUUGGUCUUCGAGUAAAUUUAAUAUUAGUUGUAGUGACAGUAUAAAUAUACAGGAGUAGUAUAUAUAGGAUAUAGUAGUGGUAGUAGUAAUAGUAUAGUAGUAAAUACAGCAAGUAAAGCAAGUUGUUGUGGGUGGGUUUCAACUAACUUUACUAACCUAACUUAACCAGCCUAAGUUAAUUAAACAUAAUAACGUAGAGUGAACCAAAUCCGUAAUAAGGUCACCGCUUGAACUCCUCUCAUAUUUGCUUCAUUAUCGUAAGAUUGACCUCCACAAUCCUCAAAAGAAAUGUUCAGUUGUUUGUCUUCCGAGUAGAAGUCAUGACAAAUUUAGCCCUGUAGACUUCUCUACCUCAAGGAACCCUAAGAAAUGCUCCUUUAUUGAUGACUUGUCUUCAAGAAAGUUGCUCAAAUCAGGGGUAUUUCGAUGCUUUGAUAUCGUCCACGAUUCUUUCAGUAAUUUUUGCACUGAUAAUGUUAAUCAGUUCAUUUUGGAUCAUUUUGGACCAUUGGAUUGACAGUUAAAUUUUUCAGCUGACCCUCUAGAGCCAAAUUGAUUUCAGCUAGAGACUGAAUAAUCGCCAUUAGUCUAGUGAGGACUUGGCGCCACCUGUUCCACUCAGCCAUUAACAUUUCCAUUUCCCGUCUGUCUAUCGUCCUUCCACUUGCAAUGUUGACCUCCAGUUCCUUCUAUGUUGUCAUGUUUUUUAGUGUGUUCUAUGUUACUUUCAUGUGUGCUGAGCAAAUGACUAGUUCUCAGUUGGAGUCAAUUUGUUACCAUUGAAUUUAUUGAGAUAACACAAGUUUGGUGUUAAAUUUUUCAGUGUUGUAUUUUUCAACCUGUUUUUUUUUUAACGGAGAAUUUUAUUACAUAGCGCCUUACCAUUUCUUACAGUGUAGACUGAUAUGCAUUGUUGGUAAAGAGGUUAUAUGUAUUUGAGAACUAAUUCCGGUGUAUUUUCAGCCAUAGUAUUGAGUGGGUUGAGGACUCUGUGGUGAAAUGGACAUCUAAGACAUACAAUCUCUGAAAAUGAAUUGCUGGAAGCACCCUCUGUACAUGUAAGGACCACCAAUUGUGAGUAAAGCACAGAGUAAAUUGUGUAGUGUUAACACAGUGUCAAGAUAAUUGAAAAAGACAGUGAAUUCUUGUGAGUACAGAAAAUCCGCUUUGUGUUAAUCAUCCGUGAAAGCUACAGAGUUAUAUUUUCUUGAGACAUUCUCGUCAAGUAUCAUCAAGUAUUUUAUUUUGAGCAUUGCUAUGAGUACUUUGUGAAUUGAAAGUUUGUAUUGUCCUCUUUAGAGAUACUUAAUUUUCUGAGUGAGUCACCGAUACUACUGCCGAUUAUUUAUUUUGGUGAGUAUCCAUUUAAGAAGUAUCCGAGGCAUUUAUGUGUCAAUGUUUACCCCCUUUGCUCUGGAAGGGUGUUAAUUGAAUUUAUCUUUGGUGGGGUUGUUUUGUAGAAGAUUUGUUGUGACAUCAGCGCACGAUGAUCACAGUAGUUGUGAAUAAGUUACAACUUAUGUGUGAAUUCCGAGAACUUGCCAAAGCCAUGGAGGCCAGCAUUCAUCGGCGGGGAACGCCGAAGGCUCGGAGGGGUAGUGAGAAAAUCAAGUUUAGAGAUUUUCUAUCGGGAUCAGAACCAGAGGAAAGAGAAAGGUUGGCCAGUCCCGGGAACCCAGGGGGAGCUCCUUCGGCUAGGAAACCAAAUAAGUAAGACAGUUUUUAUUUAUAUUUUUCUCUUGAAGGUGGCGGCCCCAAAUUGAAAAUACAUACACUGCAAUUGAAGAAGCAGUUCUUCAACUCUUAGAUCCAGCCUCUAUACAUGGGAUUCCAGGGAUUUUGGAAAGUGAAGAACUUAUUGAUGGUAAUUCACUCAACAUACUUUUCCAACCCUCUGGCUUAUGCUUCCCUAAGUUAGAUAUUGGCUUAGGUAAUGACUUUCAGAGGGGAACCUUUUCUGGAAAAUUAUUAGAAAAGAUUCCCAGAUAACAGAUAAAAAUCCGGAGAUGGGGGAUAUUUCUCUGGGUUCGAGAGUUGAUCUAAUUGGCAAUUUCAGGAGCUACCGAAAACAUUUUUCUAUUACCAUAAACAUUCUGGGGAUGAGGAAUUUUUUCUGGAUAAUCGUCUUGUUACCCAGAAAACUCUCAUUCACGUAAGUGCUCACAGUAUUUGGUGUUUUGCCCCCAAUAGAAUUUGCGUUAACCCCUGGCCUAAUGUUGCCCUGUGACAAGACACACAAGCUAGACUAAGAUAACCUUAUUCUGGGUCACUUCAAAUAAAUUUGUUAUUGAUGGCAUAGCCUUGCCUAACCUAAAUGACAAAUAAUUUCUCUUAAAUUACUGAUUUAGCCUAGAUCAUGGUGUUUUCCUUUCGAUGUCUGGGUAAUUGGGUUCAUAAAAAAACAAAAAAAAAUUAAAUCCUGAAACUAUAUCACAUUAGCCUUAAAGUUUCUAGAAUUAAUACUCACUGACGGCCUGACACUCACCAAUAUUGCCAUGUACUGUACACACUUUCUCUAACAUAACAUAACAUAAUCUAACCUAUGUAAUUAUUCUUCAUGUUCUAACUAAUUUAACUUGGCCCCAAGUUUAAACAUUUAUUUGGCUAAGACUGAAAAAGCUUAAUCAAGUUAAUUGCAAUCCAUAUUUUACACCUAAUAUCAUUGAAUUUGGGCUAGCCUAUGGACAUGUCAUGUUAUCAUAAGCCAUAUAUGUAAGAAAAUAGGCGAAGGCUAUUGGUUGAAUAUUAAAAAAACAAGGCGAACAAUACAAACCUUCUGUUUUGGUAAAAAAUACUUGAAAAGUUUGUAAGAAAAUAAACUGCGACAAAUACAAACACUCAAGCCUCUUAUAUUUGUUUUGAGUAUACCAUCUGUGUUUACUGAUCUGAGACUGUAAGUCCAGUUACGGGGUAUAAUCGGAUACUACUUGUCUUAGGCUCCACCCACCAGGGACUGCCAUACUAUAGUUGAGUGUUACUGAAAUUAUUCAAUAAAUGUAACUUCAUUUUAAUAAACCAUUUUAUAAUUUUAAUAAACUAUUUUAUUUGUA